rnacentral:misc_RNA from 1 species
AAGUCGUAACAAGGUUUCCGUAGGUGAACCUGCGGAAGGAUCAUUAACAAAAUCACAUUGAACCCUGUUGCAUCGGAUCCUUGGAGGGGGUGCUCAUGCAUGUCCAUGUCUGAUUGUGCCUCUUCUAUUGAUCGUCCUUCUUUCUUUUCUUUACUGGCUAGAGCGAGCAUGUCUGCUAGUCACAUUUGACUCGUAGAAUACACUCGGUCCGACCUAGUGCGCAGCACUAGCUAGUAAAGAGAAGAAAGAUACUAAACACACUGAUACAUGCAAUCGCCACACGGCGACUAGGACAAAAAA